rnacentral:rRNA from 1 species
UACGUAGGGCGCAAGCGUUGUCCGGAAUUAUUGGGCGUAAAGAGCUCGUAGGCGGCUUGUCACGUCGGGUGUGAAAGCCCGGGGCUUAACCCCGGGUCUGCAUUCGAUACGGGCUAGCUAGAGUGUGGUAGGGGAGAUCGGAAUUCCUGGUGUAGCGGUGAAAUGCGCAGAUAUCAGGAGGAACACCGGUGGCGAAGGCGGAUCUCUGGGCCUUACCUGACGCUGAGGCGCGAAAGCUAGGGGAGCAAACAGG